rnacentral:rRNA from 1 species
GAUGAACGCUGGCGGCGUGCCUAAUACAUGCAAGUCGAACGCAUUGUGGUUGAAAUGAUAUGAAGAACUUGUUCAGAUUUGAUUUUCAACAUUGCAAUGAGUGGCGAACGGGUGAGUAACACGUGGGAAACCUACCUCUUAGCAGGGGAUAACAUUUGGAAACAAAUGCUAAUACCGUAUAAUAAUUAAAACCGCAUGGUUUUAGUUUAAAAGAUGGUCUUGCUAUCACUAAGAGAUGGUCCCGCGGUGUAUUAGUUAGUUGGUGAGGUAAUGGCUCACCAAGACAAUGAUACAUAGCCGAGUUGAGAGACUGACCGGCCACAAUGGGACUGAGACACGGCCCAUACUCCUACGGGAGGCAGCAGUAGGAAUCUUCCACAAUGGACGAAAGUCUGAUGGAGCAACGCCGCGUGUGUGA